CMGGCAAUCGGAAUGAGAUAAACGUAAAGAYCUAAACGAGWAACCAGWGGAGGGCAAGUCUGGUGCCAGCAGCCGCGGUAAUUCCAGCUCCACUAGCGUAUGCUAAAGUUGCUGCAGUUAAAACGCUCGUAGUUGAACGUUGAGGAGGGGUGGSGUGGUGCAGCAUUGCUGUUACUACACUGCCCGCCUUUUUUGGGGACGGUAUGCUCACGCACACCGCUUCCCCGUGUUACUGUGAARAAAUUAGAGUGUUUAAAGCAGGCUUUCGCUUGAAUACAUCAGCAUGGAAUAACAAGAAUGAUUCAGUUCAACUUGUUGGUUUGGGGACAUGAGUAAUGAUUGAUAGGAACAGUUGGGGGCAUUAGUAUUGUGCAGUCAGAGGUGAAAUUCUUGGAUUUGCACAAGACUAACUAGUGCGAAAGCAUUUGCCAAGGAUGUUUUCAUUAAUCAAGAACGAAAGUUAGGGGAUCGAAGACGAUCAGAUACCGUCGUAGUCUUAACUAUAAACGUUGCCGACUCUGGAUCCGGGUGCAACCUCUUGGUUCGCCUGGGCACAGUGUGAGAAAUCAAAGUUUUUGGGUUCUGGGGGGAGUAUGGUCGCAAGGCUGAAACUUAAAGGAAUUGACGGAAGGGCACCACCAGGAGUGGAGCCUGCGGCUUAAUUUGACUCAACACGGGAAAACUCACCAGUCCGGACAUGGUGAGGAUUGACAGAUUGAGAG
rnacentral:rRNA from 1 species